UACUGUUCAUCUGUGCCAUUUUUGCAGAAGUGUGCCAAAUGAUUUCUUGAUGUGCCGGGGUCGACCUAAUCAUCCUUUGGGUCGACUCAAUCCACACUUUGCUGCAUCUCAAGGUUAGAUUCAUUCAAAUGAACAAAGACAUGUCUCUAUAUCAAUUCAUACAAAUAUACUGAGAGUAAUGAACUUAUAAAUGAAGUAUCAAUUUAACUUAUAGCAUACUCUAGAUAAUUGCUUGUUAAUCAUCAAAAUAACACUAUCAUCCUCA
rnacentral:lncRNA from 1 species